GACGGCAUGGCGAAAUUGGUAAACGCGCACGUUUUGAAAGCGUGUAUCAGAGAUGAUGUGGAGGUUCGAGUCCCUCUGCCGUCG
rfam:Thecamonas trahens ATCC 50062 unplaced genomic scaffold supercont1.18, whole genome shotgun sequence.